rnacentral:misc_RNA from 1 species
GAUGAAGAACGUAGCGAAAUGCGAUAAGUAAUGUGAAUUGCAGAAUUCAGUGAAUCAUCGAAUCUUUGAACGCACAUUGCGCCCGCCAGUAUUCUGGCGGGCAUGCCUGUUCGAGCGUCAUUUCAACCAUCAAGCCCCCGGCUUGUGUUGGGGACCUGCGGCUGCCGCAGGCCCUGAAAACCAGUGGCGGGCUCGCUAGUCACUCCGAGCGUAGUAAUACAUCUCGCUCAGGGCGUGCUGCGGGUUCCGGCCGUGAAACCCCCCAAUUUUCAAGGUUGACCUCGGAUCAGGUAGGAAUACCCGCUGAACUUAAGCAUAUCAAUAAGCGGAGGA